rnacentral:rRNA from 1 species
GUAGGUGGCAAGCGUUGUCCGGAAUUAUUGGGCGUAAAGCGCGCGCAGGCGGUCCUUUAAGUCUGAUGUGAAAGCCCACGGCUCAACCGUGGAGGGUCAUUGGAAACUGGGGGACUUGAGUACAGAAGAGGAAAGCGGAAUUCCAAGUGUAGCGGCGAAAUGCGUAGAGAUUUGGAGGAACACCAGUGGCGAAGGCGGCUUUCUGGUCUGUAACUGACGCUGAGGCGCGAAAGCGUGGGGAGCAAACAGGGAUUAGAUACCCUGGUAGUCCACGCCGUAAACGAUGAGUGCUAAGUGUUAGGGGGUUUCCCGCCCCUUAGUGCUGCAGCUAACGCAUUAAGCACUCCGCCUGGGGAGUACGGCCGCAAGGCUG